CUCAUUUCUCUUUCUAUUUUGCAAAACAAAGAGAUUUGUAUCACAACAUGUUUUUAUGAUAUGGCUGAAUAUAGCAUUUAAAUACACAUAUGUGUGUGUGAAGAAGUUUGUCUUUAGCAAAAGCAAUUUCUAAGUAAACUUUUAUUCAAAGCAAUGUAAUGCAUUGUAUCAGUAUAUGUAACAUUGUACAUGUAUACACCAUUCCUGUGAUGCAUAAAGUAUAUAAACAUUGAGUUUCUACUCUUCCCUUUUUUGUUAUUAAAUACUGUUUACUUUGUGUUUAAAUAUUUAAAAGAUUGAACGGGUACAAAACAUAACACUAUGGGAACAGUAUCAGUGUAAAAGGAAGCAACUUGACGAGCAGAAUCCACCAGGCACAAUAAAUGAGAGAGAACUCUGGCAUGGCACUAGCAGUGAUUCUGCUGAAAGCAUAAAUGCACAUGGCUUUAAUCGAAGCUUCUGCGGGAAAAAUGCAACUGCAUACGGUGAUGGAGUGUAUUUCGCAACAACUGCUAGGUAUGCAUGUCACAACGCCUACUCCAGACCAGACGCACAAGGAAUUAAAAGGAUGUAUCUAUGCAAAGUUCUGACCGGAGAAUAUGCUAAAGGAGAAAAAGGAAUGAGAGUACCACCAUUGAAACCAAGCAGUGGACCAAAUGCUUUAUACAACUCUGUUACAAAUGAUUUGAAUGACCCGCAUAUGUUUAUCAUAUUUCACGACACACAGGCGUGUCCAGAAUAUCUUGUUUAUUUCACAGAAAAACGUCGAUAAUAAUAGUUUGACAGUUCAACAAAAUAGAAAUGCAACACAGAAGUGCAUUGAUGAUCACUAAAACACCUUGUCAGUCGCUUAAAGGGAAAAUGACUUUUUUAGUAACAAAGAAUGAUUUAAUUAUUGACGUUUAUAUUUAAUUAUUCAAUUUUCUUUUUACUUAACUUGAUAUAAUCUAUGUGAAUGUACGUGCAAGAGUGUUUGUUCUGCAGAACAUGACAGUGGAAGUAAGUUUUAAUCACUUAAAUAUUAUGUGUUUAUAACAUGAAAUACUUCAAACGAGAUCGUUUAAGCAUAGUAAUGUUCUAUCAAGUCAGUUUUAACGAGAAUAUAUGAAAUGUUUACAAGUACUUGACACGUAAGCCACACAUUUUGGAUUAAUAAUUAUUCAAUCAACAUUAUAAAAUUUCAGAUACUUAUCGAGGUAAAUUUUUCUGAUUUAAUCUUUCAAGAGCAGCGGUUUUCGUUAAUUUCUCAUAAAAAAUAAGAUUAAAUUUGAAUGUUUUAGGUAUCUAAAUCACUUUUAAUGUUUUAAGAAAUGUGUUCAAUAGAGUAUUACCAGUGUAAAUUUACGAAAUAUCUGCAGUUUUGUUUCUGUUUGUCGCCGGACUCGUAUACAGAUUUUGCACAGCUUCCUCUGUCCAGUUAAGUUUUCUCCAAUCUGGCAUUUUCAUACGAAAUGCAGUUUUUGCCAUCAUUAAACAUUCUAACAUGCAGCUAUAUAUAACUACAAUAUAAACAGUUAAAUGCUUUCAAUUGUGGUUUGCUUUUGUACGUUGGGAUUUCAGUGCAAAAAAUAUGAAAUAUAAUAUCAUACUAAGACAAUAUCUAAACCUGUCUGUAUGGUUUUUGGUAACGUUUGUAAUGCAUAAAAACGUUUCACGCAAUUUAUAAAUUUGUAUUUGUAGUAAAGGAAGUAUGCUUUCGACUAGAAACACCCUAUUACAAUAAUGCGUUUAAAAGAGCGUGGCAACAUGUUGUGAAUAAUUACUCUCGUGUGAAACCUUGACUGACUUCAGUAUGUAUGCAUUGUAAAUAACUCAAUCAGCUCGUAAAAAAAAACAUGUUUCUUGCAAUGCAUUGAUAAUCCUUACUUGCAAAACAAUUUGUUACUUGCCAUUGAUAAAAUACUAUUUUAUUUUCAUGUUUAUAGAUCAAGUAACAUGUAAAUUGGGUUCACGUAACAGAAAAUUCGAAUGUUUUUGUAAAUUAUUGUUGAACAAAAUAUCACUAUAUUGGUGGUGGCCUGAAUGAAAAAUGUUUCAUAUCAUUGAAACACAAGAUUAUUUUAUAUUAGCAUGAAAAUAUAGUAAAUUUGAUGGUUUUAAAUUGUGGAUGAUGAAGAGUGGUCCAUUAGCGUCAUAUUGACUAGAUGCGGUAUAAUUGAAUCACAUAUUUUACGCUUCAGAUUGUGAAAUCACGAUCCAUUAAGAUUGCGGAAAAUUUGCGUUUUAUUUAUGAGAAUUAAGUGUACUGAAGUUUAUUUCUAGUUUUCGCACGUAGUGAAAAUAUUUUAUGAUUGUGCUUUUGUAUGUUGAGUUUUUUUUCAUUUGCUGAAAAUAUUUCUAUAUCGUCAAAAUUGAUAAGGAAAAUCCAAAUAGCAAACACUAUAUCCUUAAUAUCUGAUAUAUUUAUUCAGGGCAGUUAAAGUGGAUUAAUAAUAUAUUCGGAGUUGUUUUAACAACCUAAAAUCGAAAAUCGUUUGUCAGUUUUAACAGAGAUGUUAUUAUAUUUGUUACAUUAAAAUGUGCAAUAGGAAUUAUCAUUUUAUGCUAACUAAUGAAAUACUGUAUUCUAUCAGUUAAAUAUUUUCAUAUUUCAUCACUCACACUGUGAAAAUUUGAAAUCUAUAUUUUCACACUGUGAGAAAUAUAGCUCCACCCUAUCGUUACAUUGUGCAUGAACUUUAUAUUAUUUGCGUAAAACAGGAUGAAAAUUGUAGUCGCACUUUGUUCUUUAUAGUUUAUUUCUUGAUUCAAAUUAUUUUACUUAAAGAGAAUUUCAUAACGUUAUGCAGCAAAAAAAUAUAAUAAAAUGGAACUUUAUGUUGAAUGCGUCUUUAUAACGUCACAGCACGUCUGACAUCAUGUCUGUUUACGCGCGUCUGUUUCCCGCACUGAGAUUAAAAAUAGUUGCAAAAUGCAAAUCUCAACGUAAUUGAGCAUAAAAUAAAAAGAAAAUGUGUUUGUUUUCGUGAAUAUGGAAUAUAUCUCACCUCGAAGCGAGAAAGUUUUCACAUUUUCACUCGCGCUACGCGCUCGUGAAAAUAUUUGAAAUUUUCUCACUUCUCAGUGAGAUAUAUUCCAUAUUCACUCAAAACAAACAAAUAUCCUCUAUUUAUUCUUUCCUACAAUUUCAUUGCGUUUUAGUUAGUUGUAGAAAGAAAGAAAAAAAUACAAGUUUUCACGAGUUUUAAUUGGAAUCAUGUUAUACUUCUUGUUAUAAUGAAACAUAUAGAAAUAAGAAUAUCAAACAUCUGCAUUAAUGAAUACAGAUAGAAAUUGCAUAUAUGACAGUACGAAGAUAAUAAAAGAAUAGAGGCAUCAGAAUUAAGGUUUAAAAAAUUCGUACAGAAUGCUGACUUUGUUCAUCAGUUCAAUAUUUUGUCGGAGGACAUUUGCUUAUUUUAGUGUAAGAUCGAAAUCUAUUUCACUGACUAAACAACGCCAUAGUUUCGCGAGCGGCGUAGACAUGAGAGCAGAGUAAAUAAAACUAUGGCGUUGUCGAGUGAAAGUUAUUUCGAUGUUACACUUACAAAAGAACAAAUUUUCUUCUAAUUACAUUUCUUUUUCUGUUUUUACUACAUUUUAUCACAUGUUUGACGUCGCGGGAGUGUUAUAAAGCAAUUAAACAAUAAUGAUAAUACACUAGUGUAAUAAAGCUUUUCCGUCGACGUCGUGUAUAGUAUAAGAGACGUUGGUCAAAUUGAUUUGUUUAUAUAGUAAAAGAAAGUAGAAUUUUUGAUGUUCCGCCGGAAAAGACUAACAUGUGAUAAAAAGAAUAUUACAUUUGUGACUUUCCACCUUAAAUUUAUUAAACUCGUUGAAUAAGAUUGAUAAAAUGCUCGGCAGAGCCUCGCAUUUAAUUAUAUUAUCCAACUCGUUUAAUAAAUUCAAUAUAAAAAGACACUCAUGUAAUAUUCUCUAUAUAUACCGAUUUAUCCGUGCAACGUCACGCACAUUGGGCAACAUGCAAAAGCUUAAUGUCAUAUUGUUAAUAUUGGA